rnacentral:rRNA from 1 species
UACAGAGGUCCCAAGCGGUGUUCGGAUUCACUGGGCGUAAAGGGUGCGUAGGCGGUCAUUUAAGUCUGACGUGAAAUCUCCGGGCCUAACCCGGAAACUGCGUUGGAAACUAUUUGACUAGAGGAAUGGAGGGGAGACUGGAAUACUUGGUGUAGCAGUGAAAUGCGUAGAUAUCAAGUGGAACACCAGUGGCGAAGGCGAGUCUCUGGACAUUUCCUGACGCUGAGGCACGAAAGCCAGGGGAGCAAACGGG